rnacentral:tRNA from 1 species
GUCCCUGUAGCGCAAUGGAUAAGCGCGUUGGACCUUUAAUCCAAAGGUCGUGGGCUCGAAUCCCACCUGGGAUG